rnacentral:tRNA from 1 species
GUUGUGGCUCAGUGGUAGCACACUUGCCUAGCAUGUAUGAGGCACUGGGUUCAAUUCUCAGCACCACA